rnacentral:rRNA from 1 species
GACGGAGGGUGCAAGCGUUAUCCGGAAUUAUUGGGCGUAAAGCGUCCGCAGGUGGCUGUUCAAGUCUGCUGUCAAAGCGCAGAGCUUAACUCUGUACAGGCGGUGGAAACUGAAGAGCUAGAGUAUGGUAGGGGUAGAGGGAAUUCCCGGUGUAGCGGUGAAAUGCGUAGAUAUCGGGAAGAACACCAGUGGCGAAAGCGCUCUACUGGGCCAUAACUGACACUGAGGGACGAAAGCUAGGGGAGCGAAAGGG